rnacentral:rRNA from 1 species
UACAGAAGGUGCAAGCGUUAAUCGGAAUUACUGGGCGUAAAGCGCGCGUAGGCGGCUUUGUCAGUCGGAUGUGAAAUCCCAGAGCUUAACUCUGGAACUGCAUCCGAUACUGCAGAGCUCGAGUAUGGGAGAGGUGAGUGGAAUUCCGGGUGUAGCGGUGAAAUGCGUAGAUAUCCGGAGGAACACCAGUGGCGAAGGCGACUCACUGGGCCAAUACUGACGCUGAGGUGCGAAAGCGUGGGGAGCAAACAGG